AACGAACGCUGGCGGCGUGCCUAACACAUGCAAGUCGAACGGGAUCAGGGUGCUUGCACCUUGAUCUAGUGGCGCACGGGUGAGUAACGCGUAGAUAAUCUGCCUGAUGAUCUGGGAUAACACUUCGAAAGGGGUGCUAAUACCGGAUAAGCCCACGGAGACUUUGGUCUUUGCGGGAAAAGGGGGGGACCAUUUGGCCUUCUGUCAUCAGAUGAGUCUGCGUACCAUUAGCUAGUUGGUCGGGUAAAGGCCUACCAAGGCGACGAUGGUUAGCUGGUCUGGGAGGAUGAUAAGCCACACUGGAAAUGGGACACGGUCCAGACUACUACGGGAGGCAGCAGUGGGGAAUUUUGCGCAAUGGGAGAAAGCCUGACGCAGCAACGCCGCGUGAGUGAUGAAGGCUUUCGGGUCGUAAAGCUCUGUCGAGGGGAAAGAAGUGUACUUUGGCUAAUAUCCAUUGUACUUGACGGUACCCCUAAAGGAAGCACCGGCUAACUCCGUGCCAGCCGCCGCAGUAAUAC
rnacentral:rRNA from 1 species